rnacentral:rRNA from 1 species
UUCGAAAGGAACGCUAAUACCGCAUACGUCCUACGGGAGAAAGCAGGGGACCUUCGGGCCUUGCGCUAUCAGAUGAGCCUAGGUCGGAUUAGCUAGUUGGUGAGGUAAUGGCUCACCAAGGCGACGAUCCGUAACUGGUCUGAGAGGAUGAUCAGUCACACUGGAACUGAGACACGGUCCAGACUCCUACGGGAGGCAGCAGUGGGGAAUAUUGGACAAUGGGCGAAAGCCUGAUCCAGCCAUGCCGCGUGUGUGAAGAAGGUCUUCGGAUUGUAAAGCACUUUAAGUUGGGAGGAAGGGCAGUAAGCUAAUACCUUGCUGUUUUGACGUUACCGACAGAAUAAGCACCGGCUAACUCUGUGCCAGCAGCCGCGGUAAUACGAA